rnacentral:rRNA from 1 species
UACGUAGGGCGCAAGCGUUGUCCGGAAUUAUUGGGCGUAAAGAGCUCAUAGGCGGUUUGUCGCGUCUGCUGUGAAAACCUAAGGCUCAACCUUGGGCUUGCAGUGGGUACGGGCAGACUAGAGUGCGGUAGGGGUGACUGGAAUUCCUGGUGUAGCGGUGGAAUGCGCAGAUAUCAGGAGGAACACCGAUGGCGAAGGCAGGUCACUGGGCCGCAACUGACGCUGAGGAGCGAAAGCAUGGGGAGCGAACAGG